AACGAACGUUAGCGGCGCGCUUAACACAUGCAAGUCGAACGAGAAAGGGCUUCGGCCCCGGUACAGUGGCGCACGGGUGAGUAACACGUGGGUAAUCUACCCUCGAGCGGGGGAUAACGUUCCGAAAGGAGCGCUAAUACCGCAUAAGACCACGCUCUCGAAAGGGAGCGAGGUAAAAGUAGGCCUCUGAAUUCACGCUUACACUCGAGGAUGAGCCCGCGGCCCAUCAUGGUAGUUGGUAGGGUAAUGGCCUACCAAGCCGAAGACGGGUAGCUGGUCUUAGAGGAUGAUCAGCCACACUGGAACUGAGACACGGUCCAGACUCCUACGGGAGGCAGCAGUGGGGAAUCUUGCGCAAUGGGCGAAAGCCUGACGCAGCGACGCCGCGUGGGUGAUGAAGGCCCUUCGGAUCGUAAAGACUCUGUGGGGAGAGACGAAUAAGACGUGGCUAAUAUCCACGGCGAUGACGGUAUCUCCUUAGCAAGCACCGGCUAACU
rnacentral:rRNA from 1 species